UAGGGAAUAUUGCUUAAUGGGCGAAAGCCUGAACCAGCAACGCCGCGUGCACGAUGACGGCCUUCGGGUCGUAAAGUGCUUUUUGGAGGGAGGAGGAAGGACGGUACCUCCAGAAUAAGUCUCGGCUAACUACGUGCCAGCAGCCGCGGUAACACGUAGGAGACAAGCGUUAUUGGGAUUUACUGGGCGUAAAGCGCGUGCAGGCGGUCUGACAAGUUGGAUGUGAAAGCUCCUGGCUUAACUGGGAGAGGUCGUUCAAAACUAUCAGACUAGAGAGUGGUAGAGGAAGGCGGAAUUCCGGGUGUAGUGGUGAAAUGCGUAGAUAUCCGGAGGAACACCAGUGGCGAAAGCGGCCUUCUGGACCAAUUCUGACGCUCAGACGCGAAAGCUAGGGUAGCGAACGG
rnacentral:rRNA from 1 species